GAAAUAAACAGGAGGCAUUACUUUUGGAGCAACCCAUGUAUAUGUGGCCCAGAACCAUUCCUCUUCACUCAAUACAGCUCAGACAAGCCAAAAGGUUGGAUAGCCAUGCUCUAAGGCUUCUGCUCAUCCAGAAGAGACUGCAGGGACUUCAGGUGAUCUUCGCCUCCUGCUGAACCAGAUAGGUAAAAAGGGAAAAGGUUAUAUUCUGAUAUCAUCAGGAGCAAUAUUGGGCAACUUAGGACCUCCUAUAUUUGGCCUAUGACUGUGACAAAUGACUUCGUGAAGGGAUGAGAAAAAGCUUCCACAGUGACAUUUAAAUUGGAACCAAAGUUUGAUGGCGUGCAGAUGAUUUAAAUACAUGUCACCAAUGCAAAGCUAUAACGGCGGAUUUUAAAAGUGCUUUUGCUUUCUUUAUUGCCAUUUUAACAUGCAUCUGGAGAGUGCUGUGAUCCAAUGGAGCCAUUGUAAAUAAGCUGCAAUAGUUGUCUUUCCAAGCUUUUCCUUUACUUGCAUUCCUCAGGUGAGCUGUGUUGUGGGGGCUAUAAAUAAUGAUUAUAAACUUAAUGCUUACUAUGCAGACAGAAUCAGCAGUGAUAAAGUCACCUGGCAGUAAGCACUCCUGACCUGUUUCUAGGUUUACUAUUCAGCAGAGGGUCCCGGCAUGUCAAACUCCUGCAAUUCAGAACUCCUCACCAAUAGCCAGCAAACACAUUCAUCCUUUCUCUAAACAUAUGAAGGAGGCAGAGCCGGGAUCACCAUCACUGGGAACAGGGAAAUCAUCUUCUGCAGUCAGCAUUGCCUGAUACACAUGUUUAAUACGUGCCCUUUGUAGUUUGCAGGAAGAUCUCCACCCUCCUCCAACAAGAAGUACACUGCCAUCCCUCCUAAAUCCAGGACUCGCAUCAAAAACAGACUGAUGGGAUGCUGUUGUGACAAGAGGAGAGGACAGGAUUGCCCACUGGAUGAGGAGUUGUGGAGCAGUACUCAAGGAAAUCCCAUCGAUCAGACCGAUUCAGCAGAGCUCUGCCGUAGGACCUGAGAAGAGGCCUGUGCUGGGACAAAACGGACCCACAGAGCUGAGCUCUGCUGUGAAGUGGGAGCACAGAGGCCCUCAGCACUCUCUGCUUCACCUGAGAAGUAUUCUGGGGGCAGCCAUGCAGAAAGAGGAGUGCUGAGCACCUGCAGGCCCCCCCUAAGGACAGAUCUCUGCAGACAGACCAAGGGAGGAUCAUCUAUCCUGCACUCAGCAGGCACAACGAUGCUGGGUCCUACCAGGAAAUGUGCUCUGACACACAGCAGCAACAAGAGACAGGAUUGAAAGUGGCUUCAGAGCUGUUCCCCGAGGGAUUUGGUCACUGUCUUACAGACAAGAAAAGAACUGCUGGGCUGGGACUUUGCCAUGACCAGGCAGCACCCCUGGGACUCUCGCAAGCUGCUCUGAUCUAAUCCUCAUGAAGCCUGACCCUUCCUUUCAAAUGAAACCUAAUCCAUCACCCCCUGAUUGUGCAAAACAUUAUCCGCUGACAAAUGCGGUGAUAGCGGUGCUAAUAGAAGCCUGAUGGAUGGCCAGGGCUGGGACUGCAGCUCUCCUGCCCAGCGACUCCUACCUGAGCUUCAGCAUCUGUGAGCAGGAGCUGGGAGAAGAGCAGUUUUUCUGGAGCUGCCCCAUACAGCCCAGCAUUUUGGCCGGUCUGUGCCAUGCCCUCCCUUCCCAGGUCUGCUAUGGGAAGGACUGCAGCCAGGCAGGGCUGCCUUCAGCUGCUGAGCUCCAAGCUCUGUUGUUUUCAUCCAGCCCAGCACGAAGGCGUAAGCUUUCCUAUUAGCUUUUAUUGUUAUUGUUAUUAUCUAAAUCGUGCAAGAAAAAGCAUUCACUGACCUAGUCUGCAAUAAACUAUAAGUGGUUCUGAAGACCAUGAAGAUGGACAACACGAGGCAGAAGUGCUGCACGCUCUGUUGAGUUUUUCAUUAGGAUUUUUCUCUCCCCCUGUCUAUUUCUCACACCCACUGGAUUAUGAAUUUACAUGCAUUAUAAUGAGAAUAACUACAAUCAUGAUAGAUAGGAUUUUUUUUUUUAAAUCUUUAUGUAAAAAGCUACGGAACAUAAGCGAGCUGUCGAAGUUUGAAGGAAUCAGCCCCAUUUUGGUCAUACACUUUCAUAUUUCUUGUUUUGGGGAUGCAGAGUGAGUCUGGGCUGCAAUCUAAAUUCUGCGGGGAGUUGUGGUUGACGGAAAUAAACCAUGUGUUGAGGGUGCCACGUGAGCUGAACAUAAACAUGAAUUAAACCCUGCAACUGUGAAGGAACCAGGACUGCUGCAAAACUGGUGCUAAAAACAUAAAUUUAAAGCCUAAAAUAAUGGAUUGGAAGCCGGUUUAAUUGCCUCAAUAAAGGGGUAACAUGAAAGUUAUGGGUGUCAGAGCAGAUUAAAUGUACCUCAGAAAUCAGAAUAUGCUGUUGAUGCAUGAUGGAUGAAUGACAGAAGCCUGAAAGAGGCUAUUACAUCGACACAGUUGUAUAGAAAAUGUGGUUUAGUGGUUAAAAAGGGUGAGUGGAAGGCAGGGGCUCUUGCUGGGGCACAGCAGCUUCUUGCAUUGCAGUGUGAGCUUGGGCUGAAGCUUCUUUG
rnacentral:lncRNA from 1 species